UACGUAGGGGGCUAGCGUUGUCCGGAAUCAUUGGGCGUAAAGCGCGCGUAGGCGGCCCAGUAAGUCCGCUGUGAAAGUCAAAGGCUCAACCUUUGAAUGUCAGCGGAUACUGCCGGGCUAGAGUCCGGAAGAGGCGAGUGGAAUUCCUGGUGUAGCGGUGGAAUGCGCAGAUAUCAGGAGGAACACCAACGGCGAAGGCAGGUCUCUGGGCCACUACUGACGCUGAGAAGCGAAAGCAUGGGGAGCGAACAGG
rnacentral:rRNA from 1 species